UAAAAAAUUCCCAGGAGAUUCUGAUGACUAAUAAGGUUUAGAAAUCACUUUUGUAAAACUAUUUUCCUGCCUGAAAGUCUAAAAUUUAAAAAUAUAUCCAUAUUAUCUCAAUGGGGGCAUAAAAAGAGAUGGAUAGGGAAAUCAUGAGCUACCUUGACUUUCUGGAAGAAAAAAUGCUUCUAUGAAACUAUCAAAACUACGUGAACCUUCUUAUGUGCAUCUUUAAAAAAAUUUUUUUGUAGUUGUAGAUGGACAGAAUGCCUUUAUUUUAUUUAUUUUUAUGUGGGACUGAGGAUUGAACCCAGUGCCUUACACAUGCUAGCUGCAGCUCCAGCCCUCUUAUGUGCCUCUUAAAACUUAAGUCUUAAUUUCUUUUCUGUGAAAAUUUUCAUGAGGUCAGAGAGCAAAACCUACUAGUCCUUUGUUCUGUUGCUUUGUACCACUCCUAUUCCCAAAUACUUAGCCAGGCUACACUUUUAAUUUUUUUUUUAUUAGAGCUUUAUCAUAAUACAUCAUAAUUGGGUUCAUUUCUAAUUUUUUUAAAUUAGAAUGAUUAGGCACAUUUGAAACUUCUUCUCAUUCUCCUUAGUUUCUGUUAUGCAAGGCCUGUGAAUACCUACUUCUUUAAGAUGCAACUUUUGAGCAUUCCAAGAGAGACAAUAUGAGGCUAAUAGGCCCUAAGGACUGUGAGCUGGUAGCUGAGAAUGUCUGUUAGAGGUACAGUA
rnacentral:lncRNA from 1 species